UCAAUUCAGGAACCAAUUCCGAUCAAAACCUAACGAGAUCACUGUCAUCCACCGCCGCCAGCCUCCUCACGCGACCAUGAAAGUCACGACGGCGCUGGUCCCUAGCUCUCAUCGAGAUCCAGCUGUUUCCUCAACACACCUCCACCAUUAUUGUGCUCAGAGGAAGCCGGACAUCAAAAUCCAGAAGCCUCGCCGGUGACUCACUCUCGGAGGACCACGCAUGUGCCAUCGCUGGAACCCGAGACUCUGGGUUUCUCUGGUCUUCCUUCUCCAAAUCGAAUCAAGCUCUAAUACCUACAUGAUUUGAAAUUAAAAUUGAAGAGCAAGAAAGAGGUACUACUCUGAAAUUGAACAAGCAGGAGAUGAAGUUUCGAAGAAAUAAACUCGAAAAGGCUGAGAAAUGGACAGAAUAAUAAUAGGGUACCACCAAGCGUGCAAUCGAUGACUGUGGAAAGAUUGUUGUUAGGGCUUCAAUUUCUGUAGCGACGGACUCGGUGUUUCGAAUCCUCCGGGAAAAAUAGCUUACCCAUAAGUGCACAUAGCAAGAGUUCUGUUUCCAAGGAAGAUGGAGGGAAGAAGAUAGAGCUGAAGCCUGGAUUUCUAAUGGAGUAUGAUGAGAGCGUAUACCUCUGUCCUUUUUUAUUUCUUCCAACUGCUUUUAGUGGUUGUUUUCUAUUAUAUUGUUGAUACUAAAUUACUGAUAAAAUAUGAGUAGAAAUUUCUC